CGAGCGUCAUUACAACCCUCAAGCACUGCUUGGUAUUGGAUGCUACCACCUGGUGCAUCUCAAAAAAAUUGGCAGUGGCACUCAGCUUCUGGUGUAGUAAUUUUUCUCACCUAGGAGCCUUCGAGUGUCUUGCUGCUCAAACCCUCUAAUCAUCACAAAAGGUUGACCUCGGAUCAGGUAGGGAUACCCGCUGAACUUAA
rnacentral:misc_RNA from 1 species